UGUGUAUGGACGAGAACCGGC
rnacentral:miRNA from 1 species